CUCGUAUUUUGGUGUGAAUAGCCAUAUUUGAAUGGAUAGCUCUACAAGAUAGGAAAAUAGUUUAGUGUGCAUUGAAACAAUAGUUACAGAGUUUUGCCUUUUUGUUUUGUUUCUGUGUACUUUUGAUUCAUACCUGCAACAUCGUAUUAUUGGUUCAUGUGAUUCUGAUGAAUUUGGUACAUGCAAAAUCCCUCUGCGAUAUCUUUGAUUUCGACAUUGUUACCAGUUUAGGGUAUUGAAAUCCUGUUAAUCCUAAAGUGUUAUAUGUGCUUGUGUGUUGGUGUCCUCUACAUGUUUGUUCUUAUACUUACGAGAACUGAAAAUAUUCUGUUUUUCAGGUAUCCGUUCAAGUGGUUGAUGGCUAAUGUAUGAUGGAUAAAGAGUCGCGUCUUGGUAUUUAUGGUUGUGAGAAGAAAAGUGGACCUCAAUGCUACCGUACAAUUAAUAGGAUACUAUGUUGCUUCCAGCCCGUGGAUAAGAAUGUUUUAGUCGCUGGGGUCCUAGAGAGAUUGGUGAACAGAUGAAGCUGAUGGGAGAUCUCUGGUCACCUGCAAGUUAAGCUAAUUUAAGAUCAAGUUCGACAGUUAUUUAGUUUCAAGUUCAGCAGUACCGCAGUAGUUAGUAUUCAAGUUCAGCAGCAAUUUUGUAAUAGUGAUUUCUGAAAUUUUCAUGCUGCUGGUUAGUUACUGCUAAGUGGCAUUCAAUUGUAUCAGGACGAAUUUUAUUUGUAAUCUCAAGGCUGGAAUUUGUUUUAGUGAGAUAUUUCCUGAAA